CUACCUGCAGUCGACGGUAGCACAGAGAGCUUGCUCUCGGGUGACGAGUGGCGGACGGGUGAGUAAUGUCUGGGAAACUGCCUGAUGGAGGGGGAUAACUACUGGAAACGGUAGCUAAUACCGCAUAACGUCGCAAGACCAAAGAGGGGGACCUUCGGGCCUCUUGCCAUCAGAUGUGCCCAGAUGGGAUUAGCUAGUAGGUGGGGUAAUGGCUCACCUAGGCGACGAUCCCUAGCUGGUCUGAGAGGAUGACCAGCCACACUGGAACUGAGACACGGUCCAGACUCCUACGGGAGGCAGCAGUGGGGAAUAUUGCACAAUGGGCGCAAGCCUGAUGCAGCCAUGCCGCGUGUAUGAAGAAGGCCUUCGGGUUGUAAAGUACUUUCAGCGGGGAGGAAGGUGUUA
rnacentral:rRNA from 1 species